AGGACGAACGCUGGCGGCGUGCUUAACACAUGCAAGUCGAGCGGAAAGGCCCUUCGGGGUACUCGAGCGGCGAACGGGUGAGUAACACGUGAGUAAUCUGCCCCUAGCUCUGGGAUAGCUCCGGGAAACCGGGAUUAAUACCGGAUACGACCACUUUAGACAUCUGUUGUGGUGGAAAGAAUUUUGGCUAGGGAUGAGCUCGCGGCCUAUCAGCUUGUUGGUGGGGUAACGGCCUACCAAGGCGACGACGGGUAGCCGGCCUGAGAGGGCGACCGGCCACACUGGGACUGAGACACGGCCCAGACUCCUACGGGAGGCAGCAGUGGGGAAUAUUGCGCAAUGGGCGAAAGCCUGACGCAGCGACGCCGCGUGGGGGAUGAAGGCCUUCGGGUUGUAAACCCCUUUCAGCAGGGACGAAGCGAAAGUGACGGUACCUGCAGAAGAAGCGCCGGCUAACUACGUGCCAGCAGCCGC
rnacentral:rRNA from 1 species